rnacentral:rRNA from 1 species
CCUACGGGAGGCAGCAGUGGGGAAUAUUGGACAAUGGGGGGAACCCUGAUCCAGCCAUGCCGCGUGUGUGAAGAAGGCCCUCGGGUUGUAAAGCACUUUCAGUGAGGAAGAACGCCUGGUGGUUAAUACCCAUCAGGAAAGACAUCACUCACAGAAGAAGCACCGGCUAACUCCGUGCCAGCAGCCGCGGUAAUACGGAGGGUGCGAGCGUUAAUCGGAAUUACUGGGCGUAAAGCGCGCGUAGGUGGCUUGAUAAGCCGGUUGUGAAAGCCCCGGGCUCAACCUGGGAACGGCAUCCGGAACUGUCAAGCUAGAGUGCAGGAGAGGAAGGUAGAAUUCCCGGUGUAGCGGUGAAAUGCGUAGAGAUCGGGAGGAAUACCAGUGGCGAAGGCGGCCUUCUGGACUGACACUGACACUGAGGUGCGAAAGCGUGGGUAGCAAACAGGAUUAAAUACCCGAGUAGUC